rnacentral:rRNA from 1 species
GACGAACGCUGGCGGCGUGCUUAACACAUGCAAGUCGAACGGAAAGGCCCUGCUUUUGUGGGGUGCUCGAGUGGCGAACGGGUGAGUAACACGUGAGUAACCUGCCCUUGACUUUGGGAUAACUUCAGGAAACUGGGGCUAAUACCGGAUAGGAGCUCCUGCUGCAUGGUGGGGGUUGGAAAGUUUCGGCGGUUGGGGAUGGACUCGCGGCUUAUCAGCUUGUUGGUGGGGUAGUGGCUUACCAAGGCUUUGACGGGUAGCCGGCCUGAGAGGGUGACCGGCCACAUUGGGACUGAGAUACGGCCCAGACUCCUACGGGAGGCAGCAGUGGGGAAUAUUGCACAAUGGGCGGAAGCCUGAUGAAGAAACGCCGCGUGCGGGAUGACGGCCUUCGGGUUGUAAAACGCUUUCGCCUGUGACGAAGCGUGAGUGACGGUAAUGGGUAAAGAAGCACCGGCUAACUACGUG